rnacentral:rRNA from 1 species
AUUGAACGCUGGCGGCAUGCUUUACACAUGCAAGUCGAACGGCAGCGCGGGCUUCGGCCUGGCGGCGAGUGGCGAACGGGUGAGUAAUGCAUCGGAACGUGCCCAGUAGUUGGGGAUAGCCCGGCGAAAGCCGGAUUAAUACCGCAUACGACCUGAGGGUGAAAGCGGGGGACCGAAAGGCCUCGCGCUAUUUGAGCGGCCGAUGUCGUGUUAGCUAGUUGGUGGGGUAAAGGCUUACCAAGGCGACGAUCCGUAGCUGGUCUGAGAGGACGACCAGCCACACUGGGACUGAGACACGGCCCAGACUCCUACGGGAGGCAGCAGUGGGGAAUUUUGGACAAUGGGGGAAAGCCUGAUCCAGCCAUGCCGCGUGCGGGAAGAAGGCCUUCGGGUUGUAAAACGCUUUUGUUCGGGAAGAAAUCCUGUGGGCUAAUACCCCGGGGGGAUGACGGUACCGGAAGAAUAAGCACCGGCUAACUACGUG